rnacentral:tRNA from 1 species
AUAUUAGUAUUCCACUGGUUCUAGCUCCCAAAUC